rnacentral:rRNA from 1 species
GACGAACGCUGGCGGCGUGCUUAACACAUGCAAGUCGAACCGAAAGGCCCUGCUUUUGUGGGGUGCUCGAGUGGCGAACGGGUGAGUAACACGUGAGUAACCUGCCCUUGACUUUGGGAUAACUUCAGGAAACUGGGGCUAAUACCGGAUAGGAGCUCCUGCUGCAUGGUGGGGGUUGGAAAGUUUCGGCGGUUGGGGAUGGACUCGCGGCUUAUCAGCUUGUUGGUGGGGUAGUGGCUUACCAAGGCCUUGACGGGUAGCCGGCCUGAGAGGGUGACCGGCCACAUUGGGACUGAGAUACGGCCCAGACUCCUACGGGAGGCAGCAGUGGGGAAUAUUGCACAAUGGGCGGAAGCCUGAUGCAGCAACGCCGCGUGCGGGAUGACGGCCUUCGGGUUGUAAACCGCUUUCGCCUGUGACGAAGCGUGAGUGACGGUAAUGGGUAAAGAAGCACCGGCUAACUACGUG